rnacentral:rRNA from 1 species
AUUGAACGCUGGCGGCAGGCUUAACACAUGCAAGUCGAGCGGGGUGAUGGUGCUUGCACUAUCACUUAGCGGCGGACGGGUGAGUAAUGCUUAGGAAUCUGCCUAUUAGUGGGGGACAACAUCUCGAAAGGGAUGCUAAUACCGCAUACGUCCUACGGGAGAAAGCAGGGGAUCACUUGUGACCUUGCGUUAAUAGAUGAGCUUAAGGCGGAUUAGCUAGUUGGUGGGGUAAAGGCCUACCAAGGCGACGAUCUGGAGCGGGUCUGAGAGGGUGAUCCGCCACACUGGGACUGAGACACGGCCCAGACUCCUACGGGAGGCAGCAGUGGGGAAUAUUGGACAAUGGGGGGAACCCUGAUCCGGCCAUGCCGCGUGUCUGAAGAAGGCCUUCGGGUUGUAAAGGACUUUUGUCAGGGAGGAAAUCCCUAGUGCUAAUAACACUGGGGGAUGACAGUACCUGAAGAAUAAGCACCGGCUAACUACGUGCCAGCCGCCGCAGUAA